rnacentral:rRNA from 1 species
AUUGAACGCUGGCGGCAUGCUUUACACAUGCAAGUCGAACGGGGUGGGGGGCAACCCUCAUUCAGUGGCGAACGGGUGAGUAAUGCAUCGGAACGUAUCCCGUAGUGGGGGACAACGCCGCGAAAGCGGCGCUAAUACCGCAUAUGCUCUACGGAGGAAAGUGGGGGACCUGAGAGGGCCUCACGCUAUGGGAGCGGCCGAUGUCCGAUUAGCUAGUUGGUGGGGUAAUGGCCCACCAAGGCGACGAUCGGUAGCUGGUCUGAGAGGAUGAUCAGCCACACUGGGACUGGGACACGGCCCAGACUCCUACGGGAGGCAGCAGUGGGGAAUUUUGGACAAUGGGGGCAACCCUGAUCCAGCCAUGCCGCGUGCGGGAAGAAGGCCUUCGGGUUGUAAACCGCUUUUAGUCGGGAAGAAAAGGCAUCUCCUAAUACGGGGUGUUCUUGACGGUACCGGCGGAAUAAGCACCGGCUAACUACGUGCCAGCAGCCGCGGUAAAAC